ACGAAACUAAAAUACCUCACUGAGCACUCAGUGCACCUCUCUCCUCCAUUACUCUGCUUUUUUCUCUCCUCUUCCCUCUGCUUUUUUCUUCUCCGUCCCUUGCAGUCCAAUCCUCUGUUCUCCCGCCUCUUUGCUGAGCUGUGUGGCUAGAACUCUGAACAAACAAGAAGGCAAACACUCCUAUGUGGGACUGCAGGCCUCUGAGGAAGAAGGGAGGUUCGUAUAUCAAUGAUCUUAACUUAUUAUCAUAUAUGUCAAUCCACUACCAUGGGCCUCUUGUGGUUAGGUAUCUACAGAUGUAGCUCCUGUACCUGAAUGCAAAUGCAACUUCCUUCCAAAUCUUCAGCAGUGGCCUGAGACUAAAGGUGGAGUGGCAAAGUCGACAACUAAGGCAUGAGCAGACUCUCUUCACAGCAGCAGGUGGAAUAUGUGAAGCAUGGAGCCCUUGGAGCCGGAUAGUGCUGGUGUACUUCAUGAGCAAAACUCCAUUCAUGUGCCGACAACAAAGGACUGACCAAUCCGUGCCUUCCAUCUUAAAGGAGAGCCCAGGAAGUACAUUCUAUUGAAGAAUCUCCAUUUGAAAGGGACACAGAACAAGAGCACAGCCACUUAUCUUAACAGUCAUGGA